rnacentral:rRNA from 1 species
AACGAACGCUGGCGGCAGGCUUAACACAUGCAAGUCGAACGCUCGUGGCAACACGGGAGUGGCGGACGGGUGAGUAACGCGUGGGAACGUGCCCUGAGGUUGGGAAUAACUGCGGGAAACUGCAGGCUAAUACCUGAUGCGCCCCGAGAGGGGAAAGAUUUAUCGCCUUGGGAGCGGCCCGCGUCGGAUUAGCUAGUUGGUGGGGUAACGGCCUACCAAGGCUUCGAUCCGUAGCUGGUCUGAGAGGACGAUCAGCCACACUGGGACUGAGACACGGCCCAGACUCCUACGGGAGGCAGCAGUGGGGAAUCUUGCGCAAUGGGGGCAACCCUGACGCAGCCAUGCCGCGUGAAUGAUGAAGGCCUUAGGGUUGUAAAGUUCUUUUGCCCGUGACGAUGAUGACGGUAACGGGAGAAUAAGCUCCGGCUAACUUCGUGCCAGCAGCCGCG